rnacentral:rRNA from 1 species
GAUGAACGCUAGCGGCAGGCUUAACACAUGCAAGUCGAGGGGUAGAAGUUGCUUGCAACUUUGAGACCGGCGCACGGGUGCGUAACGCGUAUGCAAUCUACCUUAUACAGAGGGAUAGCCCAGAGAAAUUUGGAUUAAUACCUCAUAGUAUAAUUGAAUGGCAUCAUUUAAUUAUUAAAGUUCCAACGGUAUAAGAUGAGCAUGCGUCCUAUUAGCUAGAUGGUAAGGUAACGGCUUACCAUGGCAACGAUAGGUAGGGGUCCUGAGAGGGAGAUCCACCACACUGGUACUGAGACACGGACCAGACUCCUACGGGAGGCAGCAGUGAGGAAUAUUGGACAAUGGGCGCAAGCCUGAUCCAGCCAUGCCGCGUGCAGGAAGAAGCAUCUAUGGUGUGUAAACUGCUUUUGUACGGGAAGAAACACCCCUUCGUGAAGGGACUUGACGGUACCGUAAGAAUAAGGAUCGGCCAACUCCGUGCCAGCCGCCGCCGUAA